rnacentral:snRNA from 1 species
GUGCUUGCUUCGGCAGCACAUAUACUAAAAUUGGAACGAUACGGAGAAGAUUAGCACGGCUCCUGCGCAAGGAUGACACGCAAAUUAGUGAAGUGUUCCAUAUUUUU